rnacentral:misc_RNA from 1 species
ACUGAGCAAAAGGGAAUCACUGCAUCCCUUCAUGGAUGAUGAUCAGAAUAGUGUCCCGACUCUGCACGGUGUGUUAGAUGGUCUUCCACUCCCACUUUGUAAUUUCUCUCAACUCACCCAUAUAUCGUUACUUGUUUUAUUUUAUUUCAUCCUUACGGUAAAGAGCUCCAUUUAUUACAUAAUUGAACACACUGGUUGCAUUAAAAAAAAACAAGUAACGAUA